CACACACACACACACACACACACACACACACACACACACACACACACACACACACACACACACACACACACACACUCCCCAGGGCAGAGAAGUAAUCCAACCCAAGCCAAAUCCAAAUAAACUUUAAAGUAGGCUACUGAAAACUGUGUGAAUGAUUUACUUGGGUAAAAAUAUAUACUUCAUAAUCGGGGAUUUGCAUGGAUGCAGCAUGCAUCAUUCAGUGGUGAGAGAGAACAUUCAUGUAUUAAAAUGAAAUUAGUGAUCGUAUGAGGAGUCAUUAAAAUGGGUUUAUUGUGUUUUCCUGGGGUAGUCCCUUUGGUGAGGGGGGGUGAUGGAGAAGAGAACAGACAUGUGAUGAGCGAGUUUGUUUGAUGGAUGGCGAGGGGCCAUGUUUGGUUUCAGUGUGAGUGGCCAAAGGGACUGAGACUGACUGCAUCAAUCACGUCUGUCUCAUAGGAAGUCAGGGACGAAGACACAGAGUACAUGAUGCUAUUGUCAAAUCACAAUCACACACGUCUAGGGGGAAGCUAUGAGAUGUGAGACACCGGGAGAUUCAGAGAGCAGAGACAUCAGAAAGAGACAGCAGAGAUGGAACAGAGGUGUUAAUUAAACAGACAGCUAGGCAUGUGCUAAUCAUAGCUCCCAGCUCAAGAGAGAACUUAAUAUGGAGCAAGAGAUCACACACACAGACAGACAGCGAGGGAGAGAGACAGGGAGAGAGAGACAGACACAGAGAGAGACACAGAGCGCACUCCUGCACAGCCAGCCAACACACACCACUGCAUCUUUCAGAGGGAGGUGGAGAGGCAGUGACUGCUCGUCUGGGAGUAGUACUGCUGUUCCUAGGGUUAGCAAGUUAGCACACUAAUGCUAACCUCUGUCCUGUGUUGAACACGAGGGCUUCGAAGAGCAACAAGGAUCUGUGUCUUGUUUUAUCAGUAGGGUAGAAGGAAGAGGGCUAGAUGAUAACUACCCUGGUCUGUGGGCACAGUGGAGGUAGGUAGUCCUGUGUGUGUUUUACAGACAGACAGCCAUACUCUGUGCUCCCUCACAGUGGAGGUAGGUAGUCCUGUGUGUGUUUUACAGACAGACAGCCAUACUCUGUGCUCCCUCACAGUGGAGGUAGGUAGUCCUGUGUGUGUUUUACAGACAGACAGCCAUACCCUGUGCUCCCUCACAGUGGAGGUAUGUAGUCCUGUGUGUGUUUUACAGACAGACAGCCAUACUCUGUGCUCCCUCACAGUGGAGGUAGGUAGUCCUGUGUGUGUUUUACAGACAGACAGCCAUACUCUGUGCUCCCUCACAGUGGAGGUAGGUAGUCCUGUGUGUGUUUUACAGACAGACAGCCAUACUCUGUGCUCCCUCACAGUGGAGGUAGGUAGUCCUGUGUGUGUUUUACAGACAGACAGCCAUACUCUGUGCUCCCUCACAGUGGAGGUAGGUAGUCCUGUGUGUGUUUUACAGACAGACAGCCAUACUCUGUGCUCCCUCACAGUGGAGGUAGGUAGUCCUGUGUGUGUUUUACAGACAGACAGCCAUACUCUGUGCUCCCUCACAGUGGAGGUAGGUAGUCCUGUGUGUGUU